UUUACGUGAUGACGUACCUUCCGACGUCUUAUGAAACAAUGAUGGCGACCUCCAUCGGCCGUGGCUCGUGACUGUCCGACCGUUCACAUCAACCAGCAAUCCCUGGUUAUCGCGUUACAAGUAACUCUCGAUUGACAAGUUGGUUUCUUCGCAUUUGUCGACUUUCUUUCUAGAGAACAUGAAUCUGCACAAACUGUCCUCGCGACUGUGCCCAACAGUAACACAGAAGUUCAGGCAUCUCCACAUCCAAAGCAGUGGCCAGCAGCUGGAGGCAGUUGCUGUGGAAACAGAAUCAACUGAACCAAAUCCGCUGUCAGUCUUCAGAACUUCAGAGCAGGAUCCUGUA